CUCGUAGGCGGCUCGGUAAGUCAACUGUGAAAGCUCCGGGCUCAACUCGGAGAGGCCAGUUGAUACUGCCGUGGCUAGAGUCCGGUAGGGGAGCGUGGAAUUCCUGGUGUAGCGGUGAAAUGCGCAGAUAUCAGGAGGAACACCAGCGGCGAAGGCGGCGCUCUGGGCCGGAACUGACGCUGAGGAGCGAAAGCGUGGGUAGCAAACAGGAUUAGAUACCCUGGUAGUCCACGCCGUAAACGUUGGGCACUAGGUGUGGGUCUCAACCAACGAGAUCCGUGCCGUAGCUAACGCACUAAGUGCCCCGCCUGGGGAGUACGGCCGCAAGGCUAAA
rnacentral:rRNA from 1 species